GGGACAGAGCCAGGGGACAGAGCUAGGGGACAGAGUUAUCGGACAAGGGGCCAGGGGACAGAGCUAGGGGACAGAGCUAGGGCACAAGGGGCUAGGGGACAGAGUUAUCGGACAAGGGGCUAGGGGACAGAGCUAGGGGACAGAGCUAGGGGACAGAGUUAUCGGACAAGGGGCUAGGGGACAAUACAUUUAUCAUUAUUACUGUUCUAGAACAUCUACUGUUCUAUAUCAUUAGUACUGUUCUAGAACACCUACUGUUCUAUAUCAUUAGUACUGUUCUAGAACACCUACUGUUCUUUAUCAUUAGUAGUGUUCUAGAACAUCUACUGUUCUAUAUCAUUA
ensembl:lncRNA